UUUUGGAGCUAGGGAAGGUUUCGGGGCUGGAGGGGAGGGGAGGGAUGAUCGUUGCUCUGGAUCCAUGGCCAACCCCCGAGCACACUCCGCCUGCAAUCUUCUCCACAUUUCUUCACAUACCCUCUGCGGAGUUCGACGCCACCGCUUUCACAUUUUUUUUGUAAGGACGGAGGAUUUUUGCAUGUCGAGGAUUCGGGGGUGGUGUGAGCCUGCCGAUUCGGACACUUCGAGGAUUUGGGAUACAGAGUCACUUCCAGGUCGGCCGAUCAGGGCGAUUCCUCCUCGCUCGUUGGGCUUGCGAGUGAGAGAUCCUGCGCCUCCUGCCGCGGGAUCGGCCAAUCCGCUUGUUGUGGAAGCGUUUGAUGAAUUGGUGCAGUCUAGGGUUGUUACAGUUUUGGCUACAGCGGGCGUUCGAGCCCGAGAAGGCUGUUUCGUAUGUCAUUUCGCAGUGGGAGGUUUCGUGUGAUCGCACUCCGAGCGAGAGAGAAAGAGAGGGAGAAUAUCUGCGGUAAUGUAUAGUUUGAGGCAUGAAGGAAUCAUACAUUGUUGAAAGAGGGGCGAGGCAAGAUUUUUACCUUCUCCUCGAACAUCUUUUAGUGAAUGCGCUUUACUUGAUGGCAAUCUAAUAAUGAAUCGCGAUCGUGUACAAUAUAGAUUUUAAAUUGGUACUAUUCCUGCUUCACACUCAGGUCAGGGUGAGGUUACCUGGCAGGAGUAUGACGUCUGGGGAGCAUAAUAUUCUUACUUUGAACGGGACCUCCAUUGAUGUAAUAUAUUCUUUAGCAUCAAGUGCCUCGACUUUUAGUGCCGAAGGUCGUUUUAUUAAACAGAAUGUAGACCAUCUUCGGACAGUUGUGGUUUGAGAUGUUAUUGCAACUUACUCCGAAGCUGAAAAUAGACACUGACAACAUCCAUCCAUUUUCAGGUCUUAAUAAUUAUUUCACAUGUACGUCCUCGCAGAACUAAGCCAGGGUUGUUCCUUAAACAGUUAGAGGUGUACAGCAUCUCAAGUAACUGCAGCGCUAUGGAGUUCAUCGACCAGAUGCAGCAGCAAUGCAAAAAUGUUGUCCCGCCGCUGGUUGAUGCUGGUACGAAGGCACAUGGGUUGACCUACGGCUAGAGGAUGGAACCUUCUUAUAAUCAGGAGGCUGUUGCCGAAAGUCUAUUGACGCUAAGUUGGGAAGAUUUUGGUAUGUGACGUUCAGGACCAUGUGCCCCCAAAAGCUGGCAGUCUGCUGAAUAUUACAACAAUAAGGAACGCAUUUGCUUCUGUGACCAAUCGUUUGUAGUUUUGCAAAAGAUAAUUUCAGUACGUCAGGCUUUGGAGCCUUGGGUAGUUCAUCCAAACCUGCAUUUGAACUUCUGCAAUUCGCAGUUUUUUUGAGAUUGUCGUAUCUAUCCAUUUGAAGAUGGUGCAACUGCGUUGCAGAGAACUGUAUGUUCCUCAUAUAGCAAAGCUUGGAUUUGCAAGGCCCCUACGGCUAUCGCAUACCUCAUCAUUGAUAGUAUGUAGUGUUUUUUUUGUUAUCUAUGCCAUUUUCUUUACCAUUAACCUUUCAUCUAGCUAAAACAAUACGAGUAAGUUUGAACAAGGUUGUGUUGUCACAUAUUGUAUGAGUGAUUUACAUUGUCCUCACGUCUUGUUGAGUAUUAAAAGAGAAUGCCAUUGCCUUCGACAUCUGUACGAAAUCCGCAAUUAUUUUAAACUGGAAGAUAUUCGCACCCUUGAUGCUCUGUUCUCUUGUAGAGUCUUGCUCCCAGGAUGUCUGGCUACCUUCUUAUUGAAGGAGACGCUCUCGCUAAAGCAUGCUGGAUGCCAACCCCAUUAAAAACAACUCUAAAUUGACUGUUCUGACUUUGCCCAUGCAGGUGUUGACAGUGUGAAUGAAGAACAUUCCAGUUGAAACUAGGCUUACCAUACCAGUCAAGUGAUUAACCUGUAAUUGACACCUGUGAACUGAGGCUGGCCUGAGGAAUGAAAAUUUUCUUUUUAUGCUACUGUAUGGAUGCAAUUUCCUAAUUCACAGUGCAUGCUCAAGACAGUGCAUGUGGGGUGCAAGCGGUAACUUGGAUUCCAAGUAGAACGGUGAGCAGACGGAUUCCGAGUGGAACAAGCGGACCGUAAUGAGAACGGAGCGUCGCGCUCUGUUUCGUCGAGUGGGAACCCAACGACUGUGCGACGCGAAGCCGACGUCGAUGCCUCGUCAGAAUAUGGACGCGAUACGCAACUAAAGUUAGUUUUGUUAGGAUAUAGGUCAUUUGGUAUAGUUCAGUCUACAAUUUUGUAGCUUCAGGAAUCGUAGGAAAGGAAGGAGAACUCGGCGAGUGCAGCCUCGAAAGGCAGGGAUAAUUCUUUCGGCGAAACCUUCGGCACGCGGGAAACGAACACAUCCCUGCAAUAUUGUCCUCGAAAUUUAUACAUCUUUGAAGACCAGAAUGCUGCAGGGAACAAUAAGGUCGGCCAUUCGAACUGCUUGCUGUGUUUACGUCACAGUAUCUAGACCACUGCAUCCACACCACAGCUCCGCCGCAACACAUGCUGUGCGGGUCCCGACUGCUAAUCCAGAAUUUUAAAAACAGUGAAGUUAUUCCACCUAGUCGAUAGUUCCUGAAAUCUCUCCAUCGAUGCAAGGCCGAACUGGCAGGCUUCCCGACUACAUUCAAACGAUCGACUCUACCACGACUGGCGGAACUAGGAGCUAUUCUACCGCUGUGUUCAUACGCGAUUUUGGUUGACGCUGCUCAUGAACACAGGCUGGUCGAUCAAGUUAGAACCUCCACAUGAGUAAGUAAAAAAUGAAAAUAAAAAAAAAAACCACAGCUCAUGAUAGAUUCAUGAGAUGAGGUGAAAUGGUUGGUGGACGUCGAUUGCGGAAGCUGUUAGUGGUGGAAGAGUCACGUUCAUGACACGCAAGCUUCCGGGCGCCCAGAGGAGAGGACGACUGCAUGGUCCAUCGCUGGAGACGAAUAUAUCGAUGAAUUUGAAGGCCCCGAAACUAUGAUAGCCGCAACAAAAAAACACAUAAUGUAUUGUCGCACGCUGUGGCGAGGAUUGAAUCUUCUCGUCGUCCCCUGUUGUGCUGUGCUUCUUCGUCGUGAUUCAGCCAUGGACACAAAAAGUAAAAAGUAUGCUCCACAAUUACCAAAGUCAAAAGCAAACGUUUGCCAAUUCCUUUAAAGUAAAAUCUUUCCUUUUAAAGUAAAAAGCUCGUUUGCAAUAAGCGGAAAGCUUAUGUAAAAAUAAGAAGACAUAAAUAUGGGAUGUGCUGAAUUAAAAUUUGACAAUCAUGAAAAUAUGAAAACUGAAAACAUUAAAGUGU